CUAACGAAUAAGGGGUGGGCAAGUUCUGGUGUCAGCCGCCGCGGUAAAACCAGCACCUCAAGUGGUCAGGAUGAUUAUUGGGCCUAAAGCAUCCGUAGCCGGCUCUGUAAGUUUUCGGUUAAAUCUGUACGCUCAACGUACAGGCUGCCGGGAAUACUGCAGAGCUAGGGAGUGGGAGAGGUAGACGGUACUCGGGAGGAAGUGGUAAAAUGCUUUGAUCUCUCGAUGACCACCUGUGGCGAAGGCGGUCUACCAGAACACGUCCGACGGUGAGGGAUGAAAGCUGGGGGAGCAAACCGGAUUAGAUACCCGGGUAGUCCCAGCUGUAAACUAUGCAAACUCAGUGAUGCAUUGGCUUGUGGCCAAUGCAGUAUUGCAGGGAAGCCGUUAAGUUUGCCGCCUGGGAAGUACGUACGCAAGUAUGAAACUUAAAGGAAUUGGCGGGGGAGCACCACAAG
rnacentral:rRNA from 1 species